UCUUCUCAAAAAAAAAAAAAAAAAAAAAAAAAAAAAAAAAAAAAAAAAAAGCUUGCCGGCUCCUGUUGUCACUCCCGAUCAGAAUGUUGUGACUUCGGAACCGAGAGAAAGGGGAGGCCGCCGAAGGCGUCGGCAAAAGAAGGAGAGGAAAGCUUCAGGAGGGGACGAGAAUUGGUCGGAUGAGGCGUCGAAGUGGAUCGGAGAAGUAGGAGUUGGGAUCGCAGCUUUAACGUAGAGAAGCAGAGAGCAGAGGCUUUGGGUCGUGUAUGGAGUCGAGCGUGGAGAGAGGUUGAGGGCUCCGUCUGUUCUCCCUUUAAUAGCGUUAACGCACGAGGGAAUGGGCGGCAACUCUAAAACGGUGCCAAAUCGCAGAACUGCGGAGUACUGUAGAGGCGGCCUGUUCAGAAGAUUUUGCGUAGGAGAUCGGGAUGGGCUUAACAGGUGAACAAUUUACCAAGAUUGUUGGAAGUCCUUAUUACAUGACACCGGAGGUUCUGAGGCGUAAUUAUGGACAAGAAAUUUAUGUUUGGAGUGUUGGAGUUAUAUUAUACAUUAUGCUAUGCGGUGUGCCACAAUUUUGGGCAGUUUAUGACUAGAGGGCAUGCAUUCGUGCGGUUCCCAAUUUACAAUUGCUAGAAGGAAGGUGCUGCAGAUGCUCAGAGAUGAAUUUGAACUUAUCAUGGCUUAAGUGGCUGCACCUCUCUGAAAGUAAACACUCGAAACCAUAUCAUUACACCAUGAGACAAAAUACUCCAUUUCGGCCAGGUUAUAAGUCACCCUGAAGGAGUCCAAGGAAGAAGGAAUUUUUGUAUUGGAACAUUUAAUAAGCUUCAAUGCUUGAUGAUCAUAAUAUAUUGAUAAGAUUUGGUAUAAGUUGUAGCUGCCUCUAUUGCACUUCCUUAUCGUUGUUACAAUUAUAUUGAAGUAUCCAUUUGACAUUACUUAUGUAUUAUUUAAUCAGAAAAUUAAAUUUUUUUCA